GUCAGCGCACCUAAUACAUCCAAAAAUACCUUAAACAAGGUUCGCACCUUGGUUUAUUACACCAUUCUGAUUUAAUUUUUUGCUAUUAUUCAUAAGGAUUUUCUUAAAAAACUUGUAAGGUCCCUCAAUGGACAUGCUCUUAGAGCUCGCCAUCUACUUGUCGUGUCGAGAGACAAGGUCGGUGGUGCUUCAAAUCGACGGUUUUUCCCGGAUCAAGGUAUGAGAUUUCUCCUCCUGUGGCUUAUCCUUGUUUUUCUCACUAGAGGACGGUGAUUUAAUUUAGUGUGGAUUUCACGGUGGUGUUGUAGCAGAUUCAUGUCCUUCGCAAUGGCUCUCGUCUCCCUUGUUACUGGCUUUCUUUAGUCUUCAUCUUAGUUAAGACGGAAUAUUACUAGUUUCAUUGUAGAUUGUGCCUUGUGUGCGCUUCGUUUCGAUUGCGGGUGGUUCCAUUAGAGAGUGAUGAUCUGUUUAGUUUUCAAUUGGUAAUGAAAUGAUGAACUUAGAGGAAAAUUUUAUUUUGAAUUGUUUUAUGAGUACAUUUUUGGGUUGUUACUUCCAUAACUCAUUGUAAGACAUGAACACAACUGCUAUAAGGAAUCCACAAGAGCAACCUAUGGCUGCUGCAUUCCAUGAAAAAAUUGUUUCUUCUUCUUCUUUGUCUUCUUCUUCUUUUUCCUCAGCUGGCUGCUUGGUCUGUGUAGGAAAGCAUGGUACUUGGAUUUGCAUUCCACAGAUUCCGCUGUUGUUCGCGUAAAUGUUUGGAUUGUUCAAUCUGUCUAGCUGAGGACUUUCAGGGAUUCUACCUUUAAGCUUGUUGUUACGCAAAUCCAAUGUAUUCAGCUCGCUUAGCUUGGAUAACGUUUUCGGGAUUUCGCCAGUGAGGUUGUUGUGUGAAAGGUCUAAGCUCUCUACCUUCUCAAGAUCUCCAAAACUUUGUGGGAUCAAUCCAGAGAACUCGUUGUUGGAAAGAUUUAAAACCUUUAGGCUUUUGAGAUUGCCUAAAGAAGUUGGGAUUUCUCCGUGUAGCUUGUUCUUGGAGAGAUCUAAGAGAGUGUAGAGGUAGAAGUUUCUGUCGAAAAGAACUUGUUUUGAAUUCUUCCAGUUCACUACAAGACUAAAUAUAUCUUCUGAUUCGAUCUCGAUUAAUCUUUCUAUGUUGGGUAUGUCGGUAUAGGAGCUGAAAUAGGGACGGAUAGUCAUAGCUGAGGGCUCAGGAGAUUUUAUCAUGCAUGUAAGAUUCCCAAGAGAUGAAGGGAGAUAUCCAUCAAGAUUGUUCUCAGAGAGAUCCAAGACCUUAAGGCUUGUGAGAUUUGAUAUGCCUUCUGGGAUUGAACCUUUGAGGGAAUUGUUUCUCAGGCUAAGAACCUCUACAGAAGAAGAUAACUGGGAGAUUAAACUCGCGACUGUUCCAGAGAUUUUGUUGUCAUGGAGAUCAAGACGGAUCAGAUAUGAAAGAUUUCUGAAGUUCUGAGGAAAUUCGCCGCUGAAAUUGUUCUGACUCAUUAAGAGCAUACUGGUGGAUCCUCCAAAGUAAGCUGGAACAUCCCCAGAGAACUCGUUCGAAGAUAUAUCGAGCCACUCAAGGUAUGACUCGGGGCGGAACCUCGGGAAUUCACCUGAUAAUCGAUUCUUUGACAAGUCCAACAACUUGAGAAAGGGGAUCUUUGUAAUAGACUUUGGUACUGAUCCUGAGAAGUUGUUUUCAGACAACAUGAGUACCAUGACCUGUGAUUCGCCAAUCGUAUCAGGGAUCUGACCAGAAAAGUUGUUCCUUGAUAGUACAAGAUAGUAUAAGCUCGGACGCUGAAACAAAUUUGGAGGCAGUGAGCCUGUGAGUCUGUUGUCUGACAAAGUUAUGUUUCUGAUUUUCAGAUCAGCUAGCCAUUUUGGGAAUCUUCCUUCGAGUCUGUUAAUGCUCAAAUCCAAGUAAACAAGAGCUGUUUGAUUCUUGAGCCAAUCCGGAAUAUUCCCUUCUAAGCCACAAGAUCUAAGUGACAGAUGUGUUAACUUAAACUGUGGAAAGACAUAACCAUUAUUGUUCCAUUGGAGUUUGUUGUUUCCUUCAAGCCGUAGUACCUUCAGCUUCUGAAGACCAAACAACCAAGCUGCGGGAAUCUCACCUGACAAGCCAUUGUUAUUCUCAAGCUGAAGGGUUUCAAGAUUUUUCAGAUUAUGAAUCGACGAUGGAAUUCCACCCGACAACUUGUUCAUGCUCAAGGACAGAGUUGAUAGAUUGACCAAGUUUCCAAUAUCAUCUGGAAUCUUAGAAGACAAGAAAUUGUUCUGAAGAUCUAUCGUUUUGAGCUUCGUUAACCGUGAUACAGACGACGGUAUGGAACUAUUGAACAUGUUCUGCCUCAAGGUCAGCGUCAGUAGUUCGACAAGACUACCUUGCAACAUUUUAAAAGAUUCUUGAGCUCUUUGAUGUCACCACUCAACGUACCGCCAAUAACAUUCCUGCUUAAAUCAAGACGCUGAAGAUUUGUCAAGGAGAACAAUUCAUGAGGAAUUGAGCCGUUAAAUCUAUUACAACACAUGUCAAGAGAAAUCAAGCUGGUCAAGUUCACAAACGCAUAUCCAGGAAUCUCUCCUUGUAUGUUGUUAAAUGAGACAUCAAGCCCAACAAGAGAGUUUAUACGCAGAAUCGGUCUCAAAAUGCUUGAACUAACUAAGCCAGGGGGGAUGAGCAAGAAUAGAUUCAGGUCUAUCACUUCUUUGGAAGGCGAACUAGCGUUACAUGUCACGCGUAGCCAUUUGCAGCAAUCUGAGUUUGGCCUCCAUGUCCCUAAUUCUUCAAAGGCUGUGUAGUUGUCCUUGAUGUUGUGAAUCAGCAAGUUCUUGAACUCGAGAAGGGAUUGUCUUUGAUCUUGUGGACAAGAGAAAGAUAGUUGUGGUAUGAAGAAGCAGAAGAAGAGGAAGCAGGAGAGAAGACAUUGCUUCGACAUUUUGCUUUUUGCCCCUUACUGUUCUUCUUUUGUCAUCCAAGUUUUUGGUUAAAAACCAAAUCCGAACAAAUCAACAAAGUUGACUCUGGUAGGGUCUCUCACUCUCGUAGCGUUUAAGUAAAUUGUUGAAAUUUCAUCAUUGUUGACUUGAAACCAUUGACUCCAACUACUUUACAAGUCCGGAAGUAUUUAAUACUAGCUAAAAAAAUCGGAGUAUUAAUUUUGUAUUAGAUUUUCGUAAAUUUGAAAGUGUUCGAAC
rnacentral:lncRNA from 1 species